rnacentral:piRNA from 1 species
UGGGUGGGCAUCGAUUGUCUAUGGGCCAUGGC